UACUUUUUCAUCAUUACCGAUAAGACCAUCAACAGAGGACCUUAUUAUACUUAGGGCAACUGUGCCAGCCGCAACGAUCAGAAAUAGAUUUUGGUUUUUAACUAGAUUUUUACAGAUUUUGGUCAUAAAUAAGGACUUUGGGAAGCGGGCUGCACACCCCCACCAAAUUUUUCUGGGAGUACCCCCCUGGCCUGAUACCCAGUUGUCGCUUUUUGUUUUACUUUUACUCUGUAUAGAAUGGAACUCUAAGAGCAUGGUUGCCACAGGUCAGGAAAUUGUGAGUCAGGGAAAAUUGAAAUAAUUUAACAUGGCUUUUUUAAUAGCAUUGAGGGUUGGACAAAACAUUUGGGAUCGUGAUGAUCUUAGUGAUGCUUUUUCCUUAAUGAAGAAGGGAACUUUAGGAGCAGUGGGUACAACUUUGAAAGAGUUUUCACCAGUCUCUCUCUGUUUGUUCAAAAUUGUUUUAUAAUAAAUUUCACUGUGUGAUAUGUCGUUCAAGAAUGUUCAAUAAAAUAUUCUUGACAUUUUUGGA